GACGAACGCUGGCGGCGUGCUUAACACAUGCAAGUCGAACGGAGUGGCGAACGGGUGAGUAACACGUGGGUGACCUUCCCUGCACUUCGGGAUAAGCCUGGGAAACUGGGUCUAAUACCGGAUAGUGUGGGAUGGGCCCGCGGCCUAUACGCUUGUUGGGGGGGUAAUGGCCUACCAAGGCGGCGACGGGUAGCCGGCCUGGGAGGGUGGACGGCCACAUGGGGACUGAGGCACGGACCAGACGCCUACGGGGGGCAGUGGUGGGGAGUAUUGCGCAAUGGGCGGAAGCCUGAUGCAGCGACGCCGCGUGGGGGAUGUCGGCCUUCGGGUUGUAAACUCCUUUCACCAUCGACGCGGUAGAUGGAGAAGAAGCACCGGCUAACUACGUGCCAGCAGCCGCGGUAAUAC
rnacentral:rRNA from 1 species